AUUGAACGCUGGCGGCAGGCCUAACACAUGCAAGUCGAACGGUAACAGAAAGCAGCUUGCUGCUUUGCUGACGAGUGGCGGACGGGUGAGUAAUGUCUGGGAAACUGCCUGAUGGAGGGGGAUAACUACUGGAAACGGUAGCUAAUACCGCAUAACGUCGCAAGACCAAAGAGGGGGACCUUCGGGCCUCUUGCCAUCGGAUGUGCCCAGAUGGGAUUAGCUAGUAGGUGGGGUAACGGCUCACCUAGGCGACGAUCCCUAGCUGGUCUGAGAGGAUGACACGCCACACUGGAACUGAGACACGGUCCAGCCCCCAACGGGAGGCAGCGGGGGGGAUUAUUGCAAAAUGGGGGCAAGCUUGAUGAAGCCAUGCGGGGUGGAGGAAGAAGCCCUGCGGUUUUAAAAGUAUUUUCAGGGGGGAGGAAGGGAGUAAAUUUAAUACCUUUGCUAAUUGACGUUCCCGGAAAAAGAAGCACCGGCAAACCCCGGG
rnacentral:rRNA from 1 species